rfam:Apaloderma vittatum contig24687, whole genome shotgun sequence.
GGACCGGUUAGCUCACUUGGUUAGAGCAUAGUGCUGAUAACACCAAGGUCACGGGUUCGAUCCCCGUUCAGUCCC